rnacentral:rRNA from 1 species
GCAUACAGCCAUACCACCCUGUCUGCGCCAGAUAUCGUCUGAUCUUGGAACCUAAGCAGGGUCGGGCCUGGUUAGUACGUG